UACGAAGGGGCUAGCGUUGUUCGGAUUUACUGGGCGUAAAGCGCACGUAGGCGGAUCGUUAAGUCGGGGGUGAAAUCCUGGAGCUCGAACUCCAGAACUGCCUUCGAUACUGGCGAUCUGAGUCCGGAAGGAGGUGAGUGGAAUUCCUAGUGUAGAGGUGGAAUUCGUAGAUAUUAGGAAGAACAGCCAGUGGCGAAGGCGGCUCACUGGUCCGGUACUGACGCUGAGGUGCGAAAGCGUGGGGAGCAAACAGG
rnacentral:rRNA from 1 species